AACAAUGCUUAGCUAAGAUUUUAUUUGGGCACAACUUAAGUACGAACUGUGGAACCGGGCACAAAAGUUAUACGUUUUUACAUACUUAUAUUCAGUAAUUUUCCGAAAUAACGAAUAUUCGUUUUAACGAAAACCGCUUAUAACGAACAAGCAAAUUUGUAAAAUUAGCUGCCAUCGAUUGGUCACGUCUCUGCUCGCUAUCUUUGGGCACUGCUCGCCUGUCAAAAAUUUUACAUGUGAAAGCAACAACAAAGAUAUCAUUAUCCUCAUUAAAAUUUCAAUCGAGUACUUCGAAGUUUUGUUUUACACAUUUUAGAACCAUUUUACUAUUGUGAACUGCUCAAAGGACAAAUUACUGUCAAAAUAAUAAAAAAUUGUUAUACACAAAUUUGAAAUUGAAAAUUGCAGGCGAAGAUAAAUCAAAACGUAAGACAUGGACGGUGGUAGAAAGCAAGGGGCUACUAAAAUACUACUUAGCCCGAAGAGAAGAAUUUCUCCAUCAAAGAAAAAAACGCAACGCAUACGCUCAUGUGUUGGAGGACAUGCUGGCACAAGGCUUCACCAACUCUUCAACAACAUUGAUAGCAUUGGAAAAUUAAAUGCGCACUUUGCUAUAGGGGUAUAAAACGGCCAAAGGCAAUGCCAGCAGAACGGGUGCAUCUCCAUGUAUUGCUCCAUAUAUGGAAGAUAAGGAAGAAAUUUUCGGAGAUAGUGGACUGGCUAGAAACAGCCAUACGCUCUCUGUUGGCCUUAUCAUCAGUCAAUCACUUCCCGAUACAUGUCAUGACUAUACUACAUAUCCCGUUUCGACUACAUCAUCCCUACCGACUACAUCUUCCCUCCCGACUGAAUCUUCCGUCCCGACUACAUCUUCGGUCCCACAUACCUCAACAACUCCGCUACAACCAACACAACUAAACCGCCGACGAAAAACUGCAAAAGAGCGUUACUACGCCAAUAAAAUUAAAAUUAAGGAGCAGAAGCUUGAGGAGAAAAGAAAGUUCAACAAUUCUGUACUCCAAACUAUGUAUAAGGGAUAUAGAAAAUGAAACCCCAGUCUUAAACUUAGUAACAGUCUCCGAUCUACAUAGUUAUAAUCCUUAAUUCCUUUGGUUUCUGCAUUUUAUUUACCAAUUUUUAUAUUUUAAGGCUGAGUUAGUUUGUUUUAAAUGCCAUAGAAUCCAAUUACUACUUUGGUCAAACCAAAUCCAAGGAUAAAGGCUAAAUCCCCGUGUGUAAAUACUUUUGACGCAAAAAAAAUUGUGUAAAUACUUUGACUACUGCGAGCCUGUAGUUCAUUUGCUUAUAUCUCCGCCAUAUUUCUAGCUAUUCUAGCCAAACUGACUUCAUUCGCUCAGUAAUAGAUCAAGGUUUACAACAACAACAAGCGAAAGCUUUUUGUGUGAAACAUGUAAAAAAACGUCCGAUGUGUAAACAAUUUUGACUACCUCUGUAUAUAUAGAA